UACGGGGGGAGCAAGCGUUGUUCGGAUUUACUGGGCGUAAAGGGCGCGUAGGCGGCGCAACAAGUCACUUGUGAAAUCUCCGGGCUUAACCCGGAGCGGUCAAGUGAUACUGUCGUGCUAGAGUGCGGAAGGGGCUACUGGAAUUCUCGGUGUAGCGGUGAAAUGCGUAGAUAUCGGGAGGAACACCUGCGGCGAAGGCGGGUAGCUGGGCCGACACUGACGCUGAUGCGCGAAAGCCAGGGGAGCGAACGGG
rnacentral:rRNA from 1 species